UACGUAGGGCGCAAGCGUUAUCCGGAAUUAUUGGGCGUAAAGAGCUCGUAGGCGGUUUGUCGCGUCUGCCGUGAAAGUCCGGGGCUUAACUCCGGAUCUGCGGUGGGUACGGACAGACUAGAGUGCAGUAGGGGAGACUGGAAUUCCUGGUGUAGCGGUGAAAUGCGCAGAUAUCAGGAGGAACACCGAUGGCGAAGGCAGGUCUCUGGGCUGUAACUGACGCUGAGGAGCGAAAGCAUGGGGAGCGAACAGG
rnacentral:rRNA from 1 species